rnacentral:tRNA from 1 species
GGGGAUUUAGCUCAGCGGUAGAGCGCUUGCCUAGCAAGCACAAGGCACAAGGCCCUGGGUUCGAUCCCCAGCUCCG